rnacentral:lncRNA from 1 species
UCUAACCGUGGAAAUAAUCUACCAUCAUGGACCUGAAACAGAUAAUCAGAACAAAAAUUUAGUAAAGAGUAAAUAUUAUCAAAGAAAAAAAAAAUAACAGGAUGUUUUCUGGUUCCUACUGCUUCAGUGCUGCUGUCCAAACACAGAUAGCUCUGUUCUUGGAGGAGCUCUGGGCUCCAGCAAGAGAUACUCGCUACUUAUGCUAGACAUCUGCUGUCCUCAAAGAACUGCUUAAAUCCUGGGUGUGGAAAUCAGAGUAAUGGAUCAAAGUCAGACUAAUAGACCAAGGUCAGAAGUGAUUUCCUGAACCUCUGUCCUCACUCAUCCCUCUUCCUAAAUGCAGAGUCAAAUGCCACUGCUUUGCAGAGGAACUAGAGGAAAGCUUUUAGUUUUCAUUGUCUCUGUGAGCCUGAACAUUACUCCCUGCAACACGCUAAUCUCCAGUAUUGGAAAAGAACAGGAAACUGUGAGUUUAACAAAACCCAUCAACCUGAAACUACUUUGCAUCAAAAAAAUCUGAAUUUGGGACCUGUCCUUGAUUUUACAGUGUCCAUGAAGUUUUUUAGUUCAAUUAUCUUAGUCCUUUUGAAUGCUCUACUCCCCCUCACUCUGUGAAUCUGUGCAGAUCCCAGAAACUGAUGGUGGUUUGGUUGAUCCCAAACCACUAACGUGUUAGGACGAUUUUGCUAAAUGUACAGGGAAAUUGGUGAAAACAAUAAGCACAGAGUACUGACAGAUGAACUAAACAACCAACAUGACAUAGAAAACAAGCAGUUGUCCUUUGUGAAUUUUUUUUAUUAUUUUUUAACAGGCUUGGCUGGCAGAAGCAGUGGCCAUGAACCAUUCAGAUGAGGAUUUGAGUUCUAAGAAGAUAGAGCAUCUCUAACUUUCAUCACUGUACUGAGGAUUUUUCCUUAUGCAUAGAAAAGGCAACGUCAUUUAUCCUUGACUGAGAAUCACCGGUACAUUUCAACAAUGGAAUUAGCUAUUCACUGCAUUACAAUGACUUGCUUUCUGUAAUUUGCCAUUAAUAUGCUUCUACCUGAACAGUGCAAAAUGUGAAUUAAAUUGCCACAGGGAAAAAUAAUGAACCUGUUCUUUGAUUUAAUCUAAAAGCGGACAGUUAUAGUCUCUUUCCUCAUAAUAAUGUUCUUCCCUCUCUUCUCAAAAAUUUUACUUUAACUUGUCUAGGUUUUCUUUUCAAUUCAGGAUAAAGUGCAGCAUGUAAUGUGGCCUUC